ensembl:lncRNA
CGUGCCACCAGGGGCGAGGGAGAGCGAUCGCCGCUCCGCGCCGCGCGAGCCUCCUCCGCCUGACCGCGGUGCGGAACGCGCCGGCUCAGGCGAGAUCACUGUGUUUCGCAGCGGACGGGACCGCCGCGGUCCCUUUGCGGCCGCGGUCCUCGGAGCGGCGGCUCGCGCCGUUGCAGAGCCAAGAGCGCCCCCUGGCGGGAACGCGGCGGCGGUCCUCUAUGGCCUCUGUGUGCGAGGGGCUUGGGACGGGCGGCGUGCAGGGCGGUGCGCCGGCUGGGAGGGCUCGGGAAAGGGGAAAUAGCAGCCGAGGUGAGAAAGGAGCGUACGGAAAGGGUGGCAGGGCUGGCUGGUCCUCACCAGAUAGGUGAGACUAUGCAAGAUAAUCGUUGUCAGCUUAACGGAGAUGAGAACCAGGGGAAAAGUUUGCCUCUCUCAGAUUUCUAUAGCAAUUACAAUUAUAUACUGUGUAUUUCCAUCAUACCUCCACACCAUAAAAACCACAGAACUUCUGUCAGGGUGAUACAGACAUUUACUAUAGUCAACAUAAGAUGCACGAAUUAAGGAGUAGAUUAAAGUCCUACUGACUUUUUUUUUUUCCUUCACAAGAUCCCAAUUAAAUUAAACCUAAAAAGAUAUUAAAACAUAAUGUAAUGCUAAAAUGGGAUGGAAAGUACCGCAGUAAUAGCAGGGCAGCAGUCUCCAGCUACAGCAAAUGAGAACAAGCCCAGGUACAGCAGCUACAGAAAUGAAGGAAAAGAGCCACUUACCUUUAGAAGGCCUCAGGUAUGCAAGGAUCCCCAGCAAAAAAAACCCCUCACCUCCACUGCCAACCCUUAAAUGAGGUCUGGGAAGGUGUGGAUCCUGGCUCCACCUCUUCCAGACAUUCAGGUGCACUGCACUGCACUGCACUUGUGCUCCCCUGGGUUUGCCCUGCCUUCCACCAGGUGCUCAAUCACUGCUUGAGGUUGUGACACGUAUAAAUGGAACUGCUUUGUUUUCAGUGAAAAAAAGGUGUGAUAGAAGUAACCCUAGAAGAAGGUAACAAUAUGCUAAGGAAAUAGCUAUUCUGGGGCACUUCAUUCCUCGUGUAGAUAGGUUGUUGAGAUAACGGAGGCACAGAUAGUCUCACAGUAGACUUCUCCAUGGAGUUUCCUGUAGCCUGUGUUUCUCAGUUUCUGCUUCAUAUUGAAGUAGCUUAUCUAAUGCAACUUUCUGUGUUUCAAGACUGCAUGAAGUCUGCAACACAAGCAUGCUGAAAUUGCAUCAGUCUGACAAAAGCAAGGUGGUAGAUAAAAAACAUCUAUUUGUAUUUGAGCUUGCAAGCUAGCAAGUACCUGCAGUGUUUCUUUUCGUAUUCUUUUUUUGUAUAUUCUGCUCCUAAGGCAUGCUAUUGUUCCUUAGUGGGUGUGUUCUGUAACAUAAAACAACUGAAAAUACAGUCUCCUUGGAGCUUACAUAAACCACUAGCAUCCCCCUGGAGAGCAUAUUUUGGGAAGCUCUUAAAUGAAGUGUUCUGCUGGGAGCGUGGCAGUGGUGCUUCUGUACCAACUGACCGUGGCUGAUGAAGUGUGAAAACUGAUGCCUUCUCCUGUGUCAGCAACAUUCAAUUGGCAGGACUGGGGAAGAGCAAUAGGGAACAAGCUGUCAUUUUUUUCAAGUAUGCAUUCAGAGUGAUAGCAAAUCAUAAUUUGGUUUAGAAUUGUUGAGUCUUAUACAAACAAAAUUCCCUGCUAGAUAAUUCUUAAAAUAGUAUUUUUUAGGUCUUAUUAUUGCCUGAGGUUGUUUGGUGUUGUCACAUCCUGAAUAGGCAAUUCUAAAACAGCACAGGAAUGUUAUAAUUUAUUUAUUAAAAAAUGUACUUGUUGCUAAGCUUCACUCAGUGUUUUGCAAGGCAAUUACAAUUCACAUUUUGCCUCUAUAUUUAUUAUGAAGUUACUAAGCUGGAAAAACAACAACGAAAACCAAACUGAGUCUGUAUUUAGCAAAUAGAGUUAAAAGGUAAUAAUCUUUGAUGUAUAACUAUGCUUUCCAUGUCAGUUGAUUUUUUUUCCCCAAAUGUAUUUAUAUUACUUGAUUUGAUGUCUCCUUUUUGGUGGCUCUUGUUUCUUCUUCUGUCUUACUUAGUUUAAAGAAAAAAAAAUCAUAUUUUCCAAGUGGUGUAAAUGUUGUGUCAUCUUUAACUUAGGAAGAAGUAGCUUCUGAUAUGCCUCUAUCUUAAUGAUUUCUUUGUUGUGGCUGAAGUCACUGGUGAAUUCUUUCCUCUGCCAACAUUUUUAAUGAUUAGAAUACAUCAGUUUUGGAAGAGACUGCCAGUUCUUAACUCCUAGAAAUAAUCCCUUAUUUUAUCAGUGUUGUUCACCCAAACAGAUAAACCAAUUAAGUAUGAGAAUAGGUAGAAUCAAGACCCAGGGUUAGGUCACAUUAAAUCCUAUUUUACAGCCAUUGCUUGCUAUAUAGAUGCAUGCCCAAGCACUUGCAGUGGGAUGUGUUGACUUCUGUGUGGAAGUCAGUGCAUAUGAGAAGAUCAUUAGGACUGCAAAGAGCCACACAGAAGUUACCAAACACCAGCAUUACGGUUAAUUCUGUGCAGCGUAAUGUCCUUUGGUGCACGCAUUGCAAUCACUUAGAAUGCUGUAUGAUGGUGGAUCCUCCCACUCCAGAAGGUCACCCCUGCGAAUGAGACUGUUCCCUUUGUUCCUCACCUUCAGCCCUGUUGCAGUUCUCAGCUUUCUCCAGAUCCUCCAGCUACCCAUCUCCUUCUCCAGUGAGCCAGGACAAGGCAUUCUGGCACUCAGUACCUCUUCCUUCCUUCUCCUGCUUGGAUCCUCCCUGUUACUGCUCCUUUUUUUGCUCACCACCUGCCGUGGACCGCUCAUCACAGGAGGCCUGAAAGGACUGCUGUCUCCCUUGAACAGAAUCGUUGUGGCUUUCUUUAUUUUUCUUUAACAACCACUGGGGGGUUCUUCUUUCACUGCUAUUGCUGCGCACAGUGAUGGGUCGCUGUGGGUAGAGGAAGAACGUCGCCGCUCUGGCUCUGCUGCUUGACUUUUGUCACGAUAGGGCACAAUGCCUGUUGUGAACAGGGGAGUAAGAUCUGAGAGAAAUUGAUUCUCCAAACAAACUUUUCAGAGGCGUAGCAAUAGCAUCAUUUGAGCUAUUUUUUUUUUUUUAAUCGGGAAUCUGUUCUCCCCUUUUGAUUCCUCUACAGAAGUUCGGAUCAGCUGUGAAAUAAGACGACAUUUGGACUUCCUGAAGGUAGGAUCAAAAAAUGUCACUUGUUGGUUUCUUGUUGUAAGUACUUAAAGAACGUUUUUGUCCUAUUCUCAACUUCCAGGAGAGGGUCCUUUCCCUUCACAUUAACAAGGAGUCAGGACGUGAGGCCUGCACCUGUCUUCACAUUUCUGGGAGAAGUGACUGAAGUUCAGACAGUGAACAAGUAACUGAGAACAAGCAUCAGAUAAACCCAGAAGCUGUGCUGCACCUUUGGGAAGACAUUCUGAUGCACUGAAAGACUUCACUCAUUGGUGUACCUAGAGAAGCUUUCCCUAUGGUUAGUUGCUGGCUCCUGAAGUUUGGGGAAGGGAAGAAAAGGCAUACUGUAUACAUUAUAACAAAUUAUCUGGAGGAUUUAGAGGAGUCUUUUAAGCAUCAGUUCAUAUUCAAGUCUGAUGAUACUUAAUAAUAAUGGCUCCUGUUAAAGGUGGGUGGUAAUUCCAUUUAAUGAAGGUAGUUACUGGUGACAGUCUUUUUCACAGAGCUCUUUUUAACUCCUGCUAUCAUUGCUUUUAUUAUUUCUUUGGCUGUGACACAUGCAUAGAAAUCUAAUUGUAGAUGCUGCUACUUUUCAGGAUAUUUGAACUUGCUUGUUAACCUCUAUGAACAAUAUCAUCCAUUUCUUCCUUUCUGUGCUAAUUACCUACCAACAGGUGCAAUCUCAUGCCAGCAUACUAUUUAGCAGCGCUUCACGUCCUUGCCAACUCAAUGGAUAUAUUCACUGUUAAAAUGUGUGGCACUGUGGUUCCUGAGCACUUACAUGCAUUUUAUGGGGGAACGUUUGGCUUUUCGUGGAGUUUAUGGCUGCCGGGGAAGCAGCAUUAGUGUAAAAUGGUGUUUUCAGUCAGGAAUUCUUUUUACUGAUGAAAGAAGGCUUUCUGGUAAUAUCCAAAUUAAAAAGCUCCCAUUAACACCUGUAAUUUUGCCAUCUCAGAAGAAGGUUGCUCUGAUACACAGAAGAGCUGCACAGUAUAGUAAUUGCAGUCUUGGGGCAUAACUUCUGUUUUAGUUUCAACAGAGAUAAGGCAGUUUACCCAGUCAGAAACUGCUCUGUAAUGUGAACCAAGCAGGGGUAAGUUAGGAUGAUUAGGAUAUAUUUGCUCCAGAAUUGGACUUCUCAUCAAAACAAAAACACUAAGCCACUGUUAACCCAAAGCACGUCAGUGAUAGAAGCGCAGCGCUUCUUUUAGAUCUCCAGUGCUUGACUGGCUACCCGGAAAAAGAGUUUAAAGAGCUGAACUCUCAUCUGCCUCAUUUCAAAGACAUCUGACGUCCUGUGAAGAACAUGAAGGCAGUUUUUACCUGUGUUUCUGUCAGCUCCUAAACUGGCUUAAAAUGGUGGCAGGGGUAUGUGUGUGUGUUAUGGGGGGGGGGGGGGGGGUGGUGGUAAAGAGACAGGAACCCUAAGAAGUCUACACAUUCUUAUGCUGGAACUGAAGUUAGGCACACUUUGGCCCAGUCCUUGACACCACUUCUAAAUACAAGCUUCCAUGUGGCUAGGCUGGUGGUUCUGAAGACUUGCUAGAAACACGCAUGUCUGUUUCUCAUGCAUGCAAAUUCGGCCCUUCUUAAUUCAUUAGAGAAAGUCGUCCUAAAGAAAAUAGAAAAGAUGAAAUGUAAUCCCCGAAGUAACUUACAUUCCCCUAGCGUUAAUUGAACAGGAUUUUAAGAAGAUUAAAAAUACUUUCAAUCAGAUAUGAAGUAUGUUUAAUCUUUUAUUGCAAAAUCUCUUGUUGCUAAAUGUCAGGAAAGAAGCUAUUCUAAGGACAUGGAAAAGAACAGCUAAUGACUAAUCGAGUACCUUGGGGAAGGAAGAAGCCUGACCUUCAUUCACAAAUGAAUCAUUGUUGAAGUACCUGGAGCAAUACUUCAAGAGAAAAAUAACUUUAAGCACAGAGUUGCAGUUGCCAUGGAUAUGUGUAGUCAAUGGAAGAUGUAUGGGAACAGUUGAGUCACGGCCUGAACCACUGAUUGAUCACCUGAGGCAAGCACUGAGUCAGCCCUGGGAGCACAGGUGAAGGCAAUUCAGCUGUGUGACCUGAAGGGGUGGAGCCUGGCUGCAUCCCUCCUAGACUGCAUUGAAGGGCUGACUGCCAGUGGGGAAUGAUCUCUUCCUGGAGAUCCCUCUCUUUGGAGUUUUCUGCUGUGAGCCUAUGACACGGGGGAGCAUUUCAUUUAUUUUUUUGAUUGUCUCUUUCCACUGUGACAAUCUUUCUAACUAUAAACCUGUAAAAUACCAUACUAACCAUGCCACUCUGAUAACUGUACAUUUGCUAACUGUACAGAACAGGAAGAGGAUAAGGCAUGUGCUAUGGUGAUGUCUGGGCAUUUAGACAGCAGUCUUAUCAGACUACUGUAGCCAGUUAAACCCAAACUCAGAAACUCAAACUCAGCAGAAGAAAAAAGUGCACAUGCAGUUCCCAAACCAUCUCCAGACUGAAGUGCAGAUGUGAGAAGUAGAGUUGAACUAAAAAUACCUCAGAAUUUAAUUUUUUGGCAGGCAAAACACAGCCAGCUGAGGAACAGUUUGGGUAGGCAAGGCUCCUGAAGAAGGCUUGUAGAUUUGGCUGAGAGCAGGUUUGUGCAGCUGCUAUUAUGUGCUGCUAUUGUUUUCUCAGUAGUACUAGAUUUUUUUUCAGUUCUUGGUGCUCAUUUGUAGACACAUUUAUAGUUGAUGUUCUUAGAAUUUAAGAUUUUCUUUGAGGA